rnacentral:Y_RNA from 8 species
GGCUGGUCAGAGUGUAGUGGUGUUUACAACUAAUUGAUCACAACCAAUUACAGAUUUCUUUUUUCCUUCUCCACUCCCACUGCUUCGCUUGACUAGCCUUUA